AUUUUUAUAGCUUAAAAAGAGCAUUACAUUGAAGAUGUAAGGGUAAUCUGUGAUUUAAAAAUA
rnacentral:tRNA from 1 species